rnacentral:rRNA from 1 species
GACGUAGGGCGCGAGCGUUGUCCGGAUUUAUUGGGCGUAAAGAGCUCGUAGGCGGCUUGUCGCGUCGACUGUGAAAACCCGCGGCUCAACUGCGGGCCUGCAGCCGAUACGGGCAGGCUAGAGUUCGGUAGGGGAGACUGGAAUUCCUGGUGUAGUGGUGGAAUGCGUAGAUAUCGGGAGGAACACCAGUGGCGAAGGCGGUUGCCUGGGGCUUUGCUGACGCUGAGGCGCGAAAGCGUGGGGAGCGAUCCGG